UCCGAGUUGACCCCGGCAGUCUCCUACGAGUCCCCGGCAUUACCCGCUGGCAACAUAGGACAAGGGUUGCGCUCGUUGCGGGACUUAACCCAACAUCUCACGACACGAGCUGACGACAGCCAUGCAGCACCUGUCACCGGUCCAGCCGAACUGAAGGGAUCCAUCUCUGGAACCCGCGACCGGGAUGUCAAACGCUGGUAAGGUUCUGCGCGUUGCUUCGAAUUAAACCACACGCUCCACCGCUUGUGCAGGCCCCCGUCAAUUUCUUUGAGUUUUAGCCUUGCGGCCGUACUCCCCAGGCGGGGCACUUAAUGCGUUAGCUACGGCACGGAACCCGUUGAAUAGGCCCCACACCUAGUGCCCAACGUUUACGGCGUGGACUAC
rnacentral:misc_RNA from 1 species